UGGGGAAUAUUGCGCAAUGGGCGAAAGCCUGACGCAGCGACGCCGCGUGAGGGAUGACUGCCUUCGGGUUGUAAACCUCUUUCAGCAGGGAAGAAGCGCAAGUGACGGUACCUGCAGAAGAAGCACCGGCUAACUACGUGCCAGCAGCCGCGGUAAUACGUAGGGUGCAAGCGUUGUCCGGAAUUAUUGGGCGUAAAGAGCUCGUAGGCGGUUCGUCGCGUCUGCUGUGAAAACCUGGGGCUCAACCCCGGGCGUGCAGUGGGUACGGGCGGGCUAGAGUGCAGUAGGGGAGACUGGAAUUCCUGGUGUAGCGGUGAAAUGCGCAGAUAUCAGGAGGAACACCGGUGGCGAAGGCGGGUCUCUGGGCUGUUACUGACGCUGAGGAGCGAAAGCAUGGGGAGCGAACA
rnacentral:rRNA from 1 species